UUUCAUUUUAUAGACCAGCAGCCUGUAACCUCUAAACAUUUUUGCAGUUUACUGGUGGCAGCCUAAAAAGCAAUGGAAUUUGUUUCCAUGGGAACCUGCAGAGCUGCAAUUUUGAACAGUCUGGAAUUUUGACAAGAGACAGGUUUGUAACAAGGGCCUGAUCCUGAGAGAUACUGAGCACUUGCAGCUUCAAAUGAUGUGAGUGGGAGCUGGUAGGUGUCUAGCACUCCUCAGCACCACACCUUAAAAGCAGAGGUGCAACGGCUUCAGGGCUUGAACUAGGGCUCACCCACGUCCCAGGGACGCUGAGUACAAUUCCAAGAGAGAUCAAGGACUCAAACCACUCCCAUAGGCCACUGGACAGUUGGCAACAGUCUUCACUCACCUAGCAAACAGGAGGAUGCUGCAGGAGCAGAAAAGGCCCAGUGAACGACAGAGUACAAAGAGGAGUGAUUUGCGACCCCUUGUCUGUUUACUUUGAGAAGAGGAGUCAGAGGCAAUAUGAGUAAUGACAAGGAGUGAGAACAGAGGAGACAGACAGUGAAUGUGUCUGUAACAGAGAUGGCGAAGAGGCUGCAGGAGAGGACUGGAACAACAAGCCAAAGUCAGCUGUUUGUUCCUGCAACUAGUGAUGGGAAAAUCUGGUAUCUGCAUAACAUGACAUUUAUGUCUUCAUAUACCCCUUUUAUCACCAAUAAACAAAAACACA